rnacentral:lncRNA from 1 species
GGUGUGUUCUACAGUCAUCUGCAAUGGGACCAAGGGAACGAAACAGUGACCUGGCUUGUUAGAAGAGGAUUAUUGUUCAUGGCAAAUCAUUGAAAUAGGAAGGCAACUUUGAUUUGUUCUCAGCGGCAUAUUUCAGAACAUGACUAAUACCAUCCUGUCCAUCUCCUUUGGUGAUGUAUGGACUCUGAAUUUGGGUGCAUCUUUUAAAGGUAUGUGUUAACCAAUCUUACUCUAAUUCAAUAGAUAUAGGGAAUAGUGAAGCUAUUUUGUGUGCCAGAUCCAGAAUUACUGGUGAAACACUCUGGCUGUGUUUGACAUGAAGAAACAAUAUUCCACAUAAGCUCAUUCUGUUCAUGGGAAAAAUGCUUUCAUGACUCUCUUCACUGUGUAAGAUGCUUUUAUGAAAAUUACUAAUAUUGACUCACUAGAAAAGGAUACAAAAAGCCAUUUGCUUAAGCAUUUUGGCAAUGUGCCCAUGAAACAAUUUGAAGAAUAUUAUUAAAUCCUUCCAUUUUACUUCUUAUUGCAUUACAAUUCAAAAAUAUAUACAUGUGCUCCCUGCUGGUUUAUCAAGAAUAUGUGUUUAUAACCAUUUUAUAGACAGUUGUUUAAAAGUCUGAAUAGAACACCUAGGGAGGGAUUACAAUUCAAAAUAUUUUGAACUUUUCUAUUAAAUUACCAUGUGCCUUAAAAUCGCCCUUAAAAGAGACAGGAUGAAUAGACCAAAGUAAACUAUGUUAGGAAACAUGAGGUAUGGCAUGUGAUAGAAUCCGUAAUACAGCAGGGAGAGAAAAGAAAGAUUACAUGAUAGAGUUACUGAAAGAUCAAAAGGUUCUGAAGUUUCAAAGAUUAACAUUAAAAGGCCAUGUGUCCAACAACAACAACAACAAAUUAUAAACACCUACUAUAAGACUAUAAAUAGCCUAGAAACUGGGUGAAAACAUAUGCAAG